rnacentral:rRNA from 1 species
CUGACCGAGCAACGCCGCGUGAAUGACGAAGUACUUCGGUAUGUAAAGUUCUUUUAUCAAGGAAGAAAAGCAAAUGGCGAACCAUUUGUUUGCCGGUACUUGAUGAAUAAGCCCCGGCUAAUUAUGUGCCAGCAGCCGCGGUAAGACAUAAGGGGCAAGUGUUAUCCGGAAUUAUUGGGCGUAAAGGGUGCGUAGGCGGUCUAGUAAGUCAGUGGUGUAAUGGCAACGCUUAACGUUGUCCGGCUAUUGAAACUGCUAAACUUGAGUUAGAUAGAGGCGAGUGGAAUUCCAUGUGUAGCGGUAAAAUGCGUAAAUAUAUGGAGGAACACCAGAGGCGUAGGCGGCUCGCUGGGUCUUAACUGACGCUGAGGCACGAAAGCGUGGGGAGCAAACAGGAUUAGAUACCCUGGUAGUCCACGCCGUAAACGAUGAGUACUAAGUGUCGGGUUAAACCGGUACUGAAGUUAACACAUUAAGUACUCCGCCUGAGUAGUACGUACGCAAGUAUGAAACUUAAAGGAAUUGACGGGACUCCGCACAAGCGGUGGAUCAUGUUGUUUAAUUCGAAGAUACCCGAAAAACCUUACCAGGUCUUGACAUGUUUUUGCAAAAUGAUAGUAAUAUCGUGGAGGUUACCAGAAACACAGGUGGUGCAUGGUUGUCGUCAGCUCGUGUCGUGAGAUGUUAGGUUAAGUCCUAAAACGAGCGAAACCCUUAUCGUUAGUUGCCAGCACGUUAUGGUGGGGACUUUAACGAGACUGCCAAUGAUAAAUUGGAGGAAGGUGAGGAUCACGUCAAAUCAGCAUGCCCCUUAUGACCUGGGCUACAAACGUGAUACAAUGGCUGUUACA